rnacentral:RNase_P_RNA from 1 species
AAGGCGGGACGAUCUAUCGCUGCCGGGCGCUGAAACCCGGCAGAGGAAAGUCCGGACAGGACAGGGCACCGCACUGUGGAAAGCACAGGUAGACGGAAGUUUACGUGCAACGUAGAAGAAAACAACCGCCGGCAGGCCCUUCGGGAGCCUGCGGUAAGGGUGAGAACACGGAGGUAAGAUUCCGUGAUUCCGUAUGGCGACAUCCGGAAUGUACGUACUGCGGCCUGCAAUGCCAAAUAUACUGACACCAAGGGCUGCCCGUCCUUGUCAGGGGGUAGGCAGCAUAGAUAAAUGAUAGAUUUAAAAACAGAAUCCGGCUUACGGCCCCGCCUUUUUU